UACGUAGGUGGCGAGCGUUGUCCGGAUUUACUGGGCGUAAAGGGAGCGUAGGCGGACUUUUAAGUGAGAUGUGAAAUACCCGGGCUCAACUUGGGUGCUGCAUUUCAAACUGGAAGUCUAGAGUGCAGGAGAGGAGAAUGGAAUUCCUAGUGUAGCGGUGAAAUGCGUAGAGAUUAGGAAGAACACCAGUGGCGAAGGCGAUUCUCUGGACUGUAACUGACGCUGAGACGCGAAAGCGUGGGGAGCGAACAGG
rnacentral:rRNA from 1 species